CAUGCCAAUGGCACUGCCCGGUAGCUAAAUGCGGAAGAGAUAAGUGCUGAAAGCAUCUAAGCACGAAACUUGCCCCGAGAUGAGUUCUCCCUGAGACUUAGAGUCUCCUGAAGGAACGUUGAAGACGACGACGUUGAUAGGCCGGGUGUGUAAGCGCAGCGAUGCGUUGAGCUAACCGGUACUAAUGAACCGUGAGGCUUAACCUUACAACGCCGAAG
rnacentral:rRNA from 2 species